GCGGUAAUAGUAUAGUGGUCUUAGUACAGGUCGUUGUGGUUCCGACCAAACCCCUGUUCGAUUCAGGGUUACCGCA
rnacentral:tRNA from 1 species